GUACACUCCUGCGGGAGGCAGCAGUGGGGAAUUUUGGACAAUGGGCGAAAGCCUGAUCCAGCAAUGCCGCGUGAGUGAAGAAGGCCUUCGGGUUGUAAAGCUCUUUUGUCAGGGAAGAAACGGUGAAAGCUAAUAUCUUUUGCUAAUGACGGUACCUGAAGAAUAAGCACCGGCUAACUACGUGCCAGCAGCCGCGGUAAUACGUAGGGUGCAAGCGUUAAUCGGAAUUACUGGGCGUAAAGCGUGCGCAGGCGGUUUUGUAAGUCUGAUGUGAAAUCCCCGGGCUCAACCUGGGAAUUGCAUUGGAGACUGCAAGGCUAGAAUCUGGCAGAGGGGGGUAGAAUUCCACGUGUAGCAGUGAAAUGCGUAGAUAUGUGGAGGAACACCGAUGGCGAAGGCAGCCCCCUGGGUCAAGAUUGACGCUCAUGCACGAAAGCGUGGGGAGCAAACAGGAUUAGAAACCCUUGUAGUCCCAUGA
rnacentral:rRNA from 1 species